AUGCUUAAGAUUGACCUUGCCAAAGCUUUUGAUCGUUUAGAAUGGAAUUUCAUUGUUUCUGCUCUAGCUUGUAAAGGGCUGCAUGGUCAUUUUGUUAAUUUGGUUCAUGCAUGCAUCUCAUCUCCCUCAUUCUCUGUUCUCAUUAAUGGCCAGCCCUCUCCUAAAUUUAAGAGCUUCAGAGGAAUACGACAAGGCUGUCCCAUGUCUCCUUACUUGUCUGUUCUUGCAAUUAAUGAACUUUCCAUCUUGCUUAACGAAGCUUUGCAGGCUAACCAAUUGGAGGGAAUUUCUCUUGGACCAAACUGCCCCUCUGUCCAUUCUCUUCUAUUUGCAGAUGAUCUUCUGGUGUAUGGGCACGCUACUUAUCAGGAGGCUCAGACGAUGGCCAGUAUUUCAACACUUUUAUGCUCUUUCUGGUCAAACUCCUAA
rnacentral:rRNA from 1 species